CAGUAGCCGCGGUAAUACGUAGGUGGCAAGCGUCGUCCGGAAUUAUUGGGCGUAAAGGGCUCGCAGGCGGUUUCUUAAGUCUGAUGUGAAAGCCCCCGGCUCAACCGGGGAGGGUCAUUGGAAACUGGGAAACUUGAGUGCAGAAGAGGAGAGUGGAAUUCCACGUGUAGCGGUGAAAUGCGUAGAGAUGUGGAGGAACACCAGUGGCGAAGGCGACUCUCUGGUCUGUAACUGACGCUGAGGAGCGAAAGCGUGGGGAGCGAACAGGAUUAGAUACCCCCGUAGUCCCUGUCUCUUAUAC
rnacentral:rRNA from 1 species